AUAAUGACUCUCGGCAACGGAUAUCUCGGCUCUUGCAUCGAUGAAGAACGUAGCGAAAUGCGAUACUUGGUGUGAAUUGCAGAAUCCCGUGAACCAUCGAGUCUUUGAACGCAAGUUGCGCCCGAAGCCAUCAGGUUGAGGGCACGUCUGCCUGGGCGUCACGC
rnacentral:rRNA from 1 species